rnacentral:misc_RNA from 1 species
AACGCACAUUGCGCCCGCCAGUACUCUGGCGGGCAUGCCUGUCCGAGCGUCAUUUCAACCCUCAGGGCUCUCCGGCACUGGUCGGAGGGCGCUGGUGUUGGGGAUCGGCAGUCCCAGCGGCUGCCGUCCCUGAAAUGUAGUGGCGGUCCCACCGUGACCUCCCCUGUGCAGUACAUCGCUCGCAGAGGGACAGCGGUGCGGCCACGCCGUAAAACGCCCAACUUCUCAAGGUUGACCUCGGAUCAGGUAGGACUACCCGCUGAACUUAA